CGGGGGAGGCCAGAUCCUGGUCUGUGUCCCCGGCGCCCUGUGCUCCCGGGCCUCCGCUGUUGGAUUCGUGCUCCCGACCUUGCAGCCCCUC
rnacentral:pre_miRNA from 1 species